CGCCGUGGUGGCGCACCUCGGCCUGCGCGACGUCGUCCACGUCGGCCACUGCGCCGGUGGCGGAGAGGUCGCCCGGUACGUUGCCAGGCACGGUGCC
rnacentral:tRNA from 1 species